ACGGUUAGCUAACGGAGGCAUGCUGACGCCAGCGCGGUAACGUUGAAGUCAGCUCAGACAAGGAGGGUUUUGUUUUAGUCUUCUGUGCACAUUAAGACCGUCCUAGUGCAGUCUGACUCCAGCUCAAUCUGAGAGGGUUUUUUUUUUUUUUUUACCUUUAAGCGCGAUUUAACCCUGAUCUGCAUCCAAACAUAAACUUCGGAGAAAGUCUGAGGGACGCAUUUUGAAAACAGUAGCUAGUGCUGGAUUCAGAGGAAAUGGCUGCAAAGUAUGACGGAUGUGUUCACAAAACAAUUUAAAAUGUACUCUAAAGCUGCUAAAUGUCGGAUAUAUUUCUAAAUAUCAGUACCUAAAAAAAAAAUAGUGACGUGAUGCCUCAGUGUGAGUUCAGACUCGAGUGCGAACCAAAGGGAGCUCAGCACAACACCUGUAGGCCCGACGAUCUGCCCAACGGUCACAUUCCUGAUGCAUGUUGGGUUAAGAGGGCAAGGCGCCGACAUAGAGCCAGCAAGAGUACUAAUGCUGGCUCUCUGGACCGUACAGACGGGAGUACUAGCGCUGUGUCUAAGAAGAACCCCUGGAAACAAAAGGAUGCUUUUCACCCGUCACGAAUGGUACGCCAGCUGGAAGAUGGAGAGUUGCAGAUGUGCCUCGGUACAGCACAGCCAAUGGCCACCAACAUGGAGCCAGUGAGAGUACUAAUGCUGGCUCUCUGGACCGUAGAGACUGGAGUACUAAAGUUGUGUCUCCGAAGAACCCCUGGAAACAAAAGGAUGCUUUUUCACCUGUCACGAAUGGUACGCCAGCUGGAAGAUGGAGAGUUGCAGAUGUUCCGCAGUAUGCUACGGCCAAUGGCGCCGCCAGGUUUGGUGUCAAUCCGUACUAUAAGCCUGAACAAGCUGCGCCAGAUCCCAGCUUUCCUGCAUCCAAGAAGAAACGAAGCAGAAAGAAACGCUUCGGAAACAAGAAGAAAAGAGGUGCGGACAUGACCUUUCCAGAAGGCUAUAAGCCACUUCUGAUGUCCUUGCAAGAGAAGGAAGACUGGGACGAAGAGAUCCAAGAUGUCACUCUCAAAAAGAGGGUGGAGUUGAAUGUAGUGACCGUGCCUUAUGGUCCGGAGGAUGUGCUCCACUUCUCUCUGCAGGAUUUGUCACUUCGGCAGAGCAACAUGGCCGAUCCACCGGUGGCGGCUAAUUACAAUCCAGCUGUGCACCACGCACACCCGAUGCGAUGGCGCCGCUACCGCUUUGCCACUGAAUCAGAGCAGUUUGCAGACGCCGAGGAGGAGGACGAGGAGCCAGGCGGUAGUCGCAUAUCGUAACCAACGUCUUAUAAGACCUUGGUGCUUAGCGUUUUUUACAGUUGUCCCUAUGCAGGGAUCCUGGAAAGUAGCUGUGAAUAGAAUAUUUGUCAUGUGGUCUUGUUUUUCCCACGAAUACGGCUUUGUUUUCAUAAAUUAAAAGGUAAAUAUUUACUUAAAUUUCAACAUCAAAUAUGUUAGUUGUCUUAAAUUAUAAGAUAGCAUAAGUUGUAUGUAGUUUCUUCUAUGUUAUAUUUUAUCUGAUUGUUUGUUUUAGGAUUUUAGUUUUUUUUGUUGUUUUUAAAUGAAUCAUUUAGAAUAUUUAGCUUUAGCCUUUGUGGUCUUAAAUGUUUUUAGUUGUCUUCCAGACUUUGUUGUUCUGCUAUAUUUUGUGUUUUUAUGUUUUUAAAUAUAAAUGUAAUAGUUUUGUUUUAAAUGGCCAAAAGACUGCUGAGGAUGUUGAUGGUGGAUCAUUUAAGAAAAAAAAUCUCAAAGUGUCGUUUAUAAAAUAGCAUGUUCAUCAACAUGUAGUUGUAGUUUGUAUUAAUUUAAUAGUCAAAAAAGUAAGCUUCGAAGUGGAAGUAUGGUUUAUGUAACACCAACAAAUCAGCUUGUUCAUUUUCUUUGCCAGAAUAAAAGAUUUUCCUCAGA